rnacentral:tRNA from 1 species
GAGGCCUUAGUUUAAUAAAAAUAUCUGGGUUGCAUGUAGAUGAUGUAGGGAGUAGUCCUAUAGGUCUUU